GGCCCCGUGGUGGGGCCGACCGCCGGCCUCGCACGCCGGGACCAGAGCGGGCGCGGGUUCUCGGCCCGCCGUGACCGC
rnacentral:tRNA from 1 species